GCAGUGGUGAUUCAGUGGUAGAAUUCUCGCCUCCCAUGCCAGAGACCUGGGUUCGAUACUUAGCCAGUGUA
rnacentral:tRNA from 1 species